GACAGAGGUGCCAAGCGUUAGGCGGAAUCACUGGGCUUAAAGCGUGUGUAGGCGGACUUGUAAGUACCUUGUGAAAUCCCACGGCUCAACCGUGGAACUGCUUGGUAUACUGCUUGUCUUGAGCCACUUAGGGGCUACCGGAACAAAUGGUGGAGCGGUGAAGUGCGUAGAUAUCAUCAGGAAUACCGGAGGCGAAGGCGGCUCACUGGGGGUCUUCUGACGCUGAGGAACGAAAGCCAGGGGAGCGAACGGG
rnacentral:rRNA from 1 species